CAGAGUUGAUCCUGGCUCAGGAUGAACGCUAGCGGCAGGCUUAACACAUGCAAGUCGAGGGGCAGCAUAAUGGUAGUAAUACUAUUGAUGGCGACCGGCGGACGGGUGCGUAACGCGUAUGCAACCUACCCUUUACAGGGGGAUAACACUGAGAAAUCGGUACUAAUACCCCAUAAUAUUCUGGGAGGCAUCUUUCGGAGUUCGAAAGCUUUGGUGGUAAAGGAUGGGCAUGCGUUGUAUUAGCUAGCU
rnacentral:rRNA from 1 species